UUACUUAAGAUAGCUCUUUGUAAUAGAGUGGUUUGUUGUCCCUAGUGGUAGAAAUACAGAUAUACCUGUUCUAGGUAUAGUUCUUAGUAGGCCAACUUAUUAGGUGGGGUUAGCCAGAAAAACUGUACAGUAGUAGCUGUUCGGUUCCUGCGUUCCACCAUUAAAAAAACUUCGUCUCCACAUUC